rnacentral:lncRNA from 1 species
AUGCAAAGUUUUCAGGCUCUGCUACCUCUCUGCCUGCUGCAGCUGGCUGGCACCUCUGAGGAAGCUGCCACGUCACACCUCACUGGAGUCGGGGAGAGCGUGCUGCUUCUCUGCACCUUCUCUAGAGGAAGCACUGUCACUUGUGUUUUUCUGGACCAGGAUUCUGAUGCUUUGUGCCUCCAUUUGAUCCAUACUGAAGAAAAUUUACCUAACAUGCUGAGUUCAAUAAUGCUACAUGAUGGAGUUAACUUCAUUGAGUUUUGCAUGGCCUUCUUUCUAAUCAUCAGCCCUUUGAGAAAUGUGGAGGAGGGGCCCGUCCCUUCUCAGCAGUUAUGGGAAAUGAAGACCGAUUAAAUCAUAGGCUUUGCCCUGUCAGUAAAAAUGUAAAAAUGUCAAACAUGAAAAAAAGUAUUUCCAUAUUGGGUGAUGUGUUUUUUUUUUUUUUUUCUCAGCUACAAUUGCUCUAGCAGUAUAAGAACAUAGCACAAGGUUUAGAUUAGUCAAGCACAUUUUUGCACUAUGUAUAUAAUAACAAAAAAAACAGACCUGCCAACCCACCCCCAGGUCUUGAAUUUUUGGUAGAUUUUCUAGUAAAGUUCCCUUUAGUGUCCUUAGGGAAGUCUUCAAGGGUGGACCAAUGAAGACAUGCCUCUUGUUGCAUUUGCAUUUGUACAUCUUGAGCUUCAUUGCAGUACCCUCUGUCUGAACUUCAUUCUAUCAGUGUUCCACUCAGUGUAAGGACAGCCCCUAUUACCCCUUCCCUGGAGCAGCUCAGCUCCUCUCUGUCAUGGCAGCUUUUCUUGUUGGUGGAACACCGCAUUAGCAACCUGAUCCCACCACCCUCCCUGCCACACAGCCUAAGGAGCCAUGCUUCUAGCUGCAGAGGGGACUGAUUCUGAUCCCCUUAAUGCAUUACUCAUCGACUUUGUUGGUCUCAAAUGUCUGAGUAAGACCCUGAACAUGGCAUGACAAUGUCUCUCUCCUAUAUUUAUCCUCCAAAAAACUAGAAGUCAGCUCUUAAAUAAAUGUUGAGAGAAGCCUGUAGGGCA